GCCAGCGCCCGCGAAUCCCUCCGGUUCCGAACCGCCCGCACGCCACGCAAUCCGCUCCUCCCUCCGCCUGAGCUUGCCGUCAUCAGUCUGCACCGCGCCGGAUCCGUCUGCUCCCCCCUCGAGAUGGCAGCCCCAGCUAUGCCCGCGUCGAGCCCUCACCCACGGAUCCGAGGAUCUCCUACCUCUCUACACCGGAUCAGCUCCUCCCUCCGCCCGAGAUUGUCAUCAUCAAUCCGCUCUGCGCCGGAUCCGUCCGCUCCCCCACUCGCGAUGGCGCCCGCGUGGAAAAUGAUCUGCGUGUUUGAUUAGAAAAUGAUCUGCGUGUUUGCAAUCAAAUUAUUCAGUUCUUGCAAGAAUGACAUGAUUUUGUUACUAAAUAGUGUUCCUUUUAUUCAGAAAUGACCAAGACAAUGCAAGUGCUUAAUGAAGCAAGCUGGCAGGAAACAUUUAAAGCUCUUUGGAUUUCCACCCUUCGUCUUGUACAACGGGCUAGAGAACCUCUUGAAGGACCGAUUCCUCAUCUAGAUGCAAGGUUAUGCAUGUUGUUAGCUCUUAUACCAUUAUCAAUUGCUGCGAAUCUUCAAGAGGAAAGUGAUAUGUUUGGAGUUGAAGGGAACAAAAUUCUUCCACAAAGACAAGGGCUUAUAUCAUCUCUCCAGAAUCUGAUCCAAUAUUCAGGACUUCUUGUACCACCUUCAUCAGUGGUGAAUGCAGCUAAUGUUGCAGCCUCAAAAGCAGCAAUAUUUAAGGCCAACUAUAAGGCUGGGGUUGGCAACACUAGCAUGAUGGACCAGACUGACUCUUCAAUGAAAGCUGGAAAACGGAGUCAAAAAUGAAUUUUGCCUUGACCUGCGCAAACAAGAUGCAGGAAAUGUAUCUAAUCUCUUGAGACUCCAUCUUAAACAGUUGGCAAAUAUUCCAUGUAAGAUAUUGGUUCAUGACUCUGAGUUUAUCAGUUCCUCUGUUGGGAAUUAUCUUAUUUCUCUGUUGUUUCACGUUUGUAACUUUUGAUUACCUGAGAAUUACUAUUGGUGUUGAUGACAGCAGUUCCAAGAUGGGACAAAGAAGAAGAAAGGUGUGAAUUUGAUGGCUAAUUGUUACUUCUGAUUUUUGCACCGUACCUACUGCUUAGCUGGAUAAAUGAUUUUUAAGUAAACCCUUGGGUUGUACUUUGAGUUUUCAUCCCAAAUUUUAAUAUUGACAUAAAACUCCUACUCUGUCACGGUAUUAGUAAAACGCUUCAUACCAACAUUUUACUUCAUUUUAUUUUGCACUUUGUACAGUAUCUCAUCAAAAUCUUCAUUUUGACCCCUCUUUCCCAUAGCUAUAUAGAAAAUAUGUCUCUAGACAAAGUGUGUCAAGAGGGUUUUGGGACGGCUACUAAGGUUGACUAGGUUGUUUUGCCACCUCGGGGACGGCGCCGGUGGUAGGCCGGUCUCGCGGACGCACGGGGCACCACCGGGCGGCCUAGUGCUGGUCUCCAAGGAUCCGGACAACAUCCGCGAGAUCGCGCUGCGUGAGUACACCGAGCUGGUGAUCGACGAGACGGAGGUGUCGGAGGCCACUCCAGCAGAAGAUGAUGACUUACUUAAAGUUGGUACAGGCAUUUGCUCUUCAACACCUAAAAUUGUUGAACCCCAGCAACAUAAUUGUACCUCUGUAACAGAAGAUCAUCUGAUAAUCCCUAAAGAAGCUGACAAUGUUUGUGGGCAGCAUUAUCCUAUCACUGAGAAAAUCUACCGUUCACACAUGUGGCAAAGAGAGCAAUCAAAAGAAGAAUGGUGCAGGAUGCAUUGGACAGUAAUGCUUGAGUAUGGUACAUCAGGGGGCUGUCAGCUACAACCUUGAUGGAAUACCUCCAUCGAUCUAAGGGAUAUUAUAGCAGAAAUUGAUCUUCACCCGGGAAUACACGACCUACUGGCACAUUUGAUCACCAUCCAUUAUAGGAGAAUUCUCAACCAAAUCUGCUUAUUGUAGUUUCUUUGUCGGGGGCUCGGGGCUGUUGAUUUUGACCCAUGGAAAGAAAUCUAGAAGUUUUGGACUGCACCUCCAAUGCAAGUUUUUCAUUUGGUUAGCUGCUCUAAAUCAGUGUUGGACUGCAGUCAGGUUAGCUCACUGGGGACUUGAGCAUCAUGAGAGUUGUCCAUUGUAUGAUCAAGAAGAGGAGAACAUACAACAUUUGCUCACCUCCUAUGUAUUUGGCGGGGGCAGUCUACAGUAUCGUCUUGCAAAAUGGCUCAAUUUUUAGCUGUGGUCCAAACAUGCCCUAAUUGUUCUCCACUUCUUGCAGCUAAUAGCUAACAUGUUCUUUUCAUUA